GGAGAGUUGCCGGAGUGGUUAACGGAGCAGUUUGCUAAACUGUCGGCGGGAAACCGUCGCGUGGGUUCGAAUCCCACACUCUCCG
rnacentral:tRNA from 2 species